rnacentral:rRNA from 1 species
UACGGGGGGAGCAAGCGUUGUUCGGAUUUACUGGGCGUAAAGGGCGCGUAGGCGGCCACCGCAAGUCAGUUGUGAAAUCUCUGGGCUUAACCCAGAAAGGUCAACUGAUACUGUGCGGCUAGAGUGCGGAAGGGGCAACUGGAAUUCUUGGUGUAGCGGUGAAAUGCGUAGAUAUCAAGAGGAACACCUGCGGCGAAGGCGGGUUGCUGGGCCGACACUGACGCUGAUGCGCGAAAGCUAGAGGAGCGAACGGG